UUGGUCGGUGGGCGGGGAGUGUUUAGGUUUUCUUGUAUUGUUUUUUCAGCGGUGUCGGGAUCGGUGCUUGGAAAAACCAAAACCUUUAUCUUUUUAGCCCAGUUCCAGAGAGAGAACAGAUAGCCCUGUCUGUGCUUGGAAAUACAGUUACUAUUAUGUGAAUGAAAUGUUGUACAAAUCAGUGUCUGAAAAUAAUGAUAAUUCUGAAAUUUUUAAGUUAAGCGUUUUAUUUCACCUGCCAUGAAUUAACGUAGUCGCAUGCUGUAGAAUUUGCUUAAACAGGAGCUGACGUCUUUAGGCCCACUUACCUCCACCGGGACGACGAAACCGAUAUGAAACUGAGAAAUUUUGACCAUUGAAGUUUGAGACAUGCUGUGCAUACAUCCUUUACUUUUACUGGCGAAGCUAUGCACCUGUGUGAGAAACUGUGAGGGAGAAAUGACAUAGGCCUAUAUUUCCUGCAGAUGGCCUGUAAAUCAUGGCCAUGCUUCCUGAAAUUGUCUCGAAUUAAAAAGCGACGGUUGCGAAAUGUCCUGUUUGAGAAAAACCUUUGCGUGAGUUUUCUAAAUCAAAACGUUCGAUCUGAGAAUCGCGAGAAACCCUUUUGGCUUUUCUUUAAACGUUUUGAAGUGGCAUCUGACAUGGCAGAGUCUUCUGUUCUUUUUCCACUGUAAACAGAUGCACUUUCUUUAAUAGUUGUGACUUUUUUUAAUGGUUUUUUUUUCUUUCUCUGCGAUAAUGUACAAUAAUUGUGAUGUAUUUGUGUGUGCUGCCACCAGUAAAGAUUAAUUGCAGUUCAAUUAAAAUGGAUUCCCCUUAUUUUCUCUCUCCAUUUAAUAACUGUAGAUCUCAGCACUCCCUAUCUCACCUUUUGUAUUUAAGUUCAGUCUGUCGGUGUACCACAGAAAGCUGGAUGCAAAAUAGAUACUAUAUUAAAAUGUACUGUUAUUUAAGAUGUAAUAAAACAAGUUUGCGAUGUCUCUGAUGUGCUGAUGUUUUGCAAUAGAGUUUGCCGCAGCAGAAAGUAACCGUAGUAAAAUAGCUUUUUUUAAGGUCCGUUCUGAUGUUUUUAUCAGCUGUUUGGACUCGUUCUGGCGGCACCCAUUCGCUGCAGAGGAUGCAUUGCUAAACAAAAGAUGUAAUGCUAAAUUUGUCCAAAUCUGUUGUGAUGAACAAACAAACUCAUCUGCAUCUUGGAUGUCCUGAGGGUACGCCUGCUUGUUAAUACAAUCUAACGAGCCAAUCAUGAACCAGCAACUCGGUGCAUAAGAGCAUGUUGAAAUUGUACAGAAGUUCAGCUGUUCUAGAAACCGAGCAUCAGAAUUGCUAAGAAACAUGGUGUUAUUGCAAACAUGAAUAUGUAGUCAAAAACAAGAUGCUAUCAUGCCUCUUAUGUGUCUCUAGGCAAGAUAUCCAGUGCUUUCAUGCUUUAUUGAUGCAUGUUAAUAAAUGGUUUUCAAUGCAAUAUUCUUUGGUGGUCGAGAAUGUUUAGAUGAGAACACGUGCCUCAAUAAUAACUGUCAGAUGUGAUCUCUUUCUUGUGUGUUGUUUUUCCUCCUUUUCUCCAAAGGAAAUGAUUUUGGGCCAAUUAUACCUUAUCUGACAGACCUAUUGGUGUUUCUUGGGAAAAGUAUGCAUGCUAAGCCACAUGUAUGGAAGAUGCCUCAGUUUGGCAGUGUCUUUCUUUAGAAACAAACCAGUUUCUGAGACAAAAUAUCACUCUUGAUUAUGUUGUUAGAAAUCAGAUACCAGCUAAUUACUUCCCAUAUGCAUUUACUAAAAUAGACCACUUUAUUUAAAAGCAAAUUAGGACACAGAAUGCUUUACUCUUUGUUAAAGGUUUCAAAUGGUCUCAAAUUGUAGAAUUCAGAUUCUUAGUGAAUUUCUGUGACUCUGGCAGAGGAAAUGUUUAUAACGAAGUAUAGCUUUUAAAACCUAGCAAGUAGGAGACCGUAUAUAUUGCAGUAUACUAAUAUUCUCAUGCUGUAUAGUUCAAACAGUAGUCAAGACCAAUCAUUUGGUUUUUGUGAGUUUAUUAAAACGGACUUCAUGAACAACCCUCUUCACAUAGUGCUUUACAAACAAAAUUUUACUUGCAGCUUGGCAACAAAAAGUCCAUCGUAUAAAAUUAAAUGUUAAGAAUGUCAAUAAGACACAAAAGUAGUAAAGCUUUGCAGGAUCCCUUCGUGAAUGCAUUGAUCAUACUGGUCCUAUGCAAUGAGAAAGCAAAAUGUUUUUUGCAAAUCCGCAGAUAUAAUUUUUAACAAUUUGCCUCUAAUAUAUAAUGCAUACUUAAAGACUGAUUAACCUUAUCUUGGUAUUUAGAAGCAAUCAGUGAAACCACACUCUUCCCGUCUUCAAUCACAUUACCUAGAGCUGCAGCCAUCAUACGUUCCACUGAAUUUCCUCUCAAUGGAGAAACAGAUGAUGGUCUUUUAUGUAGGCCCAGUUGUUGUUGUUUUUUGGAAUAGCAUGUUUCUUUGAAGUUUUGAAAUUCUAAUUUUCGGAAUUUAUAUGAUCCAGUGAUCUAAAUGAACGCAAUGAAUCAUUUCUGAUAAAUGCCGAUGAAUGUUUCAGUGGUGCGAUCAGCAGAACAAGCUGCUUUGAAAACACCUUCUGCUUGCCUGGACACUUGACUAAAAGUGCAACUUGCAAUAAUCUGUUCAAAUGUGUAGCUUAGGGAAGUUCAUAAACGAAUCAACUGUUGUCAUACAUUAAAUAAAAAUGAAAUAAAAACACAUUUUAGUCUUGGAAGAAUAUGAUGGGAGAUGUCUAAAAUUUGUAAAGGUUCUUAAAUCUAUGCCAUUUUUGAGAUUUCUUCUGAAACUAGAAAACAUUUAACCUCAUUGCUGUCUAGGGAAUCAUUUCUGAGAUUCAGAUACUGACAAGAUUCCAUUUGUGACUUUUAUUUCCUGUAGGGAACAAUGAUUUUUGUGUCUUACAACAAUGUCCUCUAGUAACAACAAAACAUAUCUUCUUGAAUAAACUUGAGUAAAACUAUAUAUGCACUCUUAAAUACAGAGUUUCUUUCUUUUAUUACCAUGUUUUAUUGUGUUUAUACAGUUCUGUGUUUUACCAGAGUGAGCGUGCAAAACUACAAUGUUUUAUUAAUUAUUUGUUAACUCUUUUAAUCCUCAUUUUAGGUAUUUAUUCUAAAGAAAGGGUUAAUUCUAUUGAAAAAAGAACAAGAAAAAUAUGUAUGUAAGGUAGGGAGCAACAUUUGAGGUGUUGUGUAACUUGUGAGAGAUGAGGAAGGUUUGUUAUGAGUGUUUUUCCCGAUUAAUCCUAUUUCUCUAAUGUAUUUUACUAUAGCACCAUAUUUUACAUUGUUCUGCAUGCUCUUUCAAAAGGCUUGCCAAAUUAAAUUAUUCAACAACCAUGUUUCUUAAUGAGGUUUAUCCUUUCCUUUUCAGAUUUUUGACAUUCUAUUAAAACAUGCUCUAUUA